ensembl:lincRNA
AGGCUGCAGUGAGCCAAGGAAAGAAAAAAAAAAGAGAGAGAGAGAGAGAGAGGAAGGAAGGAAGGAAUAAAGAGAAAGAAAGAAAUAAAGAAAGAAAGAAAGAAAGAAAGAAAGAAAGAAAGAAAGAAAGAAAAGAAAGAAAAGAAAAGAAAGAAACCAGUGGAGGUGGACAUGUAACAGGACCAUCGGAAGGAAACAGACGUUUACCUAAGCGGCAUAAAGGCGACAUAGCGUAAUGGGCUAGCCACGGCUGUCUCCCCACCACUCCUCACCUGAGCUCUCUGUGCCUGAAUUUCCAUCGUCGGUCGGCCUCCUCUGGGUUGACCUCCAGUGAUCCCUCUUGACACCCCCUCAGACACACCAACCCUUCCACUAAUGUCUUCUUUGAUCCAUCCCUCAAUGUUCUGGCCUCCCCACAGCCUCCCCGGUACAGCUCCAGCUCGAUCCCUGAGCCCUUUGGCAGCCGAGGGUCCCCCCGGAAGGCGGCCGCCGAUGGCGCAGACACCCCGUUCGGACGAUCAGAGAGUGCCCCAACCCUGCACCCCUACAGCCCGCUGUCCUCCAAGGGCCGGCCGUCGUCACCACGCACUCCGCUCUACCUGCAGCCGGACGCCUACGGCAGCUUGGACCGCGCGCCCUCGCCCCGACCCCGCGCCUUCGAUGGCUCAGGCAGCUCCCUUGGCCGUGCGCCCUCCCCGCGGCCCGGGCCAGGCCCGCUCCGCCAGCAGGGUCCUCCCACGCCUUUCGACUUCCUGGGCCGCGCAGGCUCCCCCCGCGGCAGCCCCCUGGCGGAGGGGCCCCAGGCCUUCUUCCCAGAGCGCGGGCCUUCACCGCGCCCCCCUGCCACCGCCUACGACGCGCCAGCGUCCGCCUUCGGGAGCUCCCUGCUAGGCUCGGGCGGUAGCGCCUUCGCCCCGCCUCUGCGCGCACAAGACGACCUGACACUGCGCCGGCGGCCCCCGAAAGCCUGGAACGAGUCUGACCUGGACGUGGCGUACGAGAAGAAGCCUUCGCAGACAGCGAGCUAUGAACGCCUGGAUGUCUUCGCCCGGCCCGCCUCGCCGAGCCUGCAGUUGUUGCCUUGGAGGGAGAGCAGCCUGGAUGGACUGGGGGCCACCGGCAAGGUGAGGAGGCGACGCCUGGGGAGGAGAGGCGGGGGAAGGUCGAGGAGGAGCCGGGUCGGGGAGCGGGGUCACGGCCAGUCUCUCUCUGGUGGCUGCGAUCUGGGUCUCAGCGCCCUUUCCCACGCUCUCCCUUCACUGAGCCGGGUUUCUGCCCCUUCCUCACCCUUUCUUCUCCCUCACUCCCAGGGCUUCCCUCACCUCCUCUCCCUCCCUCCCCUCCACCUUCCCUCUCUCAACCGAUCCCCUUCUCCCUUCCCUCUUCCCCAGGACAACCUCACCAGCGCCACCCUGCCGCGCAAUUACAAGGUCUCUCCUCUGGCCAGCGACCGGCGUUCCGACACGGGCAGCUACCGCCGCUCGCUGGGCUCCGCGGGGCCGUCAGGCACUUUGCCUCGCAGCUGGCAGCCCGUCAGCCGCAUCCCCAUGCCCCCCUCCAGUCCCCAGCCCCGCGGGGCCCCGCGCCAGCGUCCCAUUCCCCUCAGCAUGAUCUUCAAGCUGCAGAAUGCCUUCUGGGAGCACGGAGCCAGCCGCGCCAUGCUCCCUGGGUCCCCCCUCUUCACCAGAGCACCCCUG